AAAUCUUAUCUGAUUCAGGAUCAAUUUAUCGGUUACACUCCCCUAUCACCAGUGAUUCUUUGUGAACUGACAUUCUGAAAAAGGGCAAGAACAUUAAAGAUAAAGGGAAACUAUAAACAAAAGAAAUUAUCAACAAAAAUAGAUUUACAGACGUCAACAAAGCCUAAAUGGUCAGACAUCUUGGUUUUCAUGAUCAUCAUUCAACAGGUCAAUACUGAACAGCAAACUUAAAGUUGAUAUUUUUCUACAUAGUGUGACUUUUUUAUUAAUUUGAAAUGGAAUGUGUUUUUUUCCUACAUAAGAAAGAGGAAAUUUCAACAUAAUUACUAUAAACAAAAAGGAGUCAUAUCAUCAUGAUCAUAGAUGCUCAAGAACCUAAUCAUGUAAAUGCAACAACGUAAUUAUCAAUUGAAAGAAGGGAGGAAUGAAAAAAUAUAUUAGUAUUUUGUUGUCCAAAUGAACUUGCUUUGUCCACUCAUUUAAAUCGCUCCAUCCAAUCAAGAAAUGUACGGAGGAAGAUUUUUGAAGAACAGAUUGCAUAAAUGUUUUGUCUUAGAAUUGUAGGAAUAUUCUAGUGGAUGAAAUAAUUUAUUUACUUGACUCUUAUAUAGUGGACUGAAUAAUUGUUCAUAGCAAGCUGAAACAAGAAAACUAAAACUUAACAGGAAAAGUGUUUAUUUUAUAAAUUUACAAAUAUAAAUGUAAUAUUAUGAACACCACAAAGGAAUAAGAUUCAAAUCAUUUGCAUAUUCAUGUAUUGCAAUGGAACUAUAACAAAGAAAACUUUACCUCAUGAAAAGAGUAAACUAUUAACUGUGCUUUGUCAAUUUAUUCAGUCAGAAUAUGAAAUAUUUUUUUCAGUUCUAUUUUUCAUAAUAAAACAAAGAAGACAAAGAU